rnacentral:lncRNA from 1 species
GACAAGCGGCGGCGACUGGAGGAGGUGAAGCUGAAGCGUGAAGAGCGCCUCCGCAAGGUGUUGCAGGCCCGUGAGAGGGUGGAACAGAUGAAGGAGGAAAAGAAGAAGCAGAUUGAGCAGAAGUUUGCUCAGAUUGAUGAGAAGACAGAAAAGGCUAAGGAGGAGCGUCUGGCAGAGAAGGCAAAGAAGAAGGCAACUGCCAAGAAGAUGGAAGAGGUAGAGGCACGAAGGAAGCAGGAGGAGGAGGCACGCAGGCUCAGGUGGCUCCAACAGGAGGAAGAGGAGCGGCGGCAUCAAGAAAUGCUACAACG